rnacentral:rRNA from 1 species
UGGGGAAUUUUGCGCAAUGGGGGAAACCCUGACGCAGCGAUGCCGCGUGAGUGAAGAAGGCCCUUGGGUUGUAAAGCUCUUUCGGCCGGGAAGAAGGGUCUGUCGGUGAAUAAUCGGCAGAUUUGACUGUACCGGAAGAAGAAGCACCGGCUAACUCCGUGCCAGCAGCCGCGGUAAUACGGAGGGUGCAAGCGUUGCUCGGAAUCAUUGGGCGUAAAGGGCGCGUAGGCGGGCGCAUAAGUCGAUUGUGAAAGCCCUGGGCUUAACCCGGGAACUGCAGUCGAUACUGUGUGUCUUGAGUGCUUAAGAGGGUACUGGAAUUCCUGGUGUAGAAGUGAAAUUCGUAGAUAUCAGGAGGAACACCGGAGGCGAAGGCGGGUACCUGGUGAGCUACUGACGCUGAGGCGCGAAAGUGCGGGGAGCAAACAGG